AACGGGAGAAACCAUGCUGUCCUGUAAUGAACCCGCUUGCCUCUAGCACGUGCUCACUUCGGAUUGGAGGCGGGAAGCCAGAGGCAGUUGGAAUGAGCAGAUGGUGUCUGAUGGCCAGAUUGUGACUUCAAGCCUCUGGAGCACCCAGCUAGUUCACUCCUACGUACCUACCUUUCCCGAAGCAAGGGCUGAAGAACCCAGUGGAGUCUGAUUCUGUGUCUUCUGAAUGAGUUAACAGGUGACAGAUAUCAGUGGUGGAGACCACACUUAACACCAUUUCUGUGGACUCAAUGCUGAUGAGCUAGUGUCAGCCUUCUCUUGAGAUCACCAUCAUGCAGAAGUUGUUAUUCGGAAAGAAUCUCAGGAUCCCAAAGAAAGGAAGCUGCCCAUUGGGUGAUCUGCAACCCCACUUUUGAAAUCUGGAGCCAUGUCUUCAACUACCACAACAGACAGUCCCCAAAAGUGACGUCAAGAAUGGAGAAUACCUGGCAGCCAGAACAAGAUCCUUCAUUGACACAGGGCCCUCCCCUUGCUAAACGAGGCCUGGCUUACCACUUCUUGGGGACUGGCUUGGUUAUCAAACAUAUGGAGCACAAUAAUGACACAUAG
rnacentral:lncRNA from 1 species